GACGUAUGGGGCAAGCGUUGCUCGGAUUAACUGGGCGUAAAGGGUGCGUAGGCGGCAUUGAAAGUCAAAUGUGAAAUACCACGGCUCAACUGUGGGUCCGCAUUUGAAACUUCGAUGCUUGAGUUCAGGUGAGGAGAAUGGAAUUCCAGGUGUAGGGGUGAAAUCUGUAGAUAUCUGGAAGAACACCAGUGGCGUAGGCGAUUCUCUAACUUGAUACUGACGCUGAGGCACGAAAGCAUGGGGAG
rnacentral:rRNA from 1 species